AGCAGUACAAUAUGUUUAAACAGCCACUCUGAAAACAUGAAUCUUCUUCAGUAAAUGUACAAACACUGUUUCAAUACGGUGGUGCCCUGACAGUUUUAGAUGUCCAAUGUGGGGUGCCAAAGAGGACUCAUUUUCGCUGGAGUGUUCAUUCAAGUUGAUUCCAGAGACUUCAGUCCACCAUGGAGAUGGCAUGCUGGAGAAGAGCAGUUCACAUCACAUGGCCAGGAAACAGAGAAGAUAAAGACCAAGGACCAGACAAAGUUUUCAAAGGCCUAGGCUUGUGAAGAGUGACUCUAGAUGCCCACGUCUUGAUGCUGCCACCUGUAAAUGUGUGCUGUUUCCAAGAAAGGGGGAAUAAAAGUCAAAGGUUCAAUUUA